ACACCGAAAGGGAGAUUCACGUCUCGACGUGGGCGCCGGCCUCCGGCCGGGGGAUGGCCUCACGCCCCGCCCGGCUCGUCCGCGGCGGUGGGUGGGCUGCCCCCUCCGGAGCGCCCGGUCCCGCGGGGGACCGCACUUCUCCCCCAGUAGGACGUCGCGACCCGCUCUGCGGCGGUCUAACGGCCGGCAGGAAGCCCGGCCGGGGCCCUCCCCUCGGGGUUGGCUCCCGGCCGGUCCUGCGGACCCGCGGCCGCCGGUCCGGGGCGGAAGAACGACCUCGGCGAUGGGCCGCUCCAUGAGAGAGCGCUCCGGUCCCCCCGCAAGCCUGCGCUUGGCCGUCGGGCCGUACCCUCGCGGGUACGCCCCUCGCCGGCGCGGACUGUUGGCGGGCGGGCACUCGAGCCGCAGUCCAUCACGCCAGUCGGCGGCGCUUCAGAUUCGGCUACUUAUCCGACCCGUCUUGAAACACGGACCAAGGAGUCUAGCGUGUGCGCGAGUCAUUGGGUGAAAAACCUAAAGGCGCAAUGAAAGUGUCAGAGCCGCGCCCAGCGCGCUCGGCGGGAGGAUGGGCCGCCCGGCCCCCGGGCCGGAGCCCCGCACUCCCGGGGCGUCACAUUCUCGUUCCGAGUCGAGACGCACCAGGAGCGCACACGCUGUUACCCGAAAGAUGGUGAACUAUGCUUGGCCAGGACGAAGCCAGGGGAAACCCUGGUGGAGGUCCGAAGCGAUUCUGACGUGCAAAUCGAUCGUCUGAGCUGAGUAUAGGGGCGAAAGACCAAUCGAACCAUCUAGUAGCUGGUUCCCUCUGAAGUUUCCCUCAGGAUAGCUGGCUCUCGGGAAGAGACGAGUCUCAUCCGGUAGAGCGAAUGAUUAGAGGUGAUGGGGUCGAAACGACUUCAACCUAUUCUCAAACUCCCAAUAGAUGAGAGCCCCGGCUUGCUUGAAAGUGAAGCCGCGGGACCUCGGAUCGGAGAGGCCAAGUGGGCCAAUUUUGGUAAGCAGAACUGGCGCUGUGGGAUGAACCAAACGCGGAGUUAAGGCGCCCGAUUCGACGCUCAUCCGAAACCACGAAAGGCGUUGGUUGCUCAAGACAGCAGGACGGUCGCCCUGGAAGUCGGAAUCCGCUAAGGAGUGUGUAACAACUCACCUGCCGAAGCAACUAGCCCUGAAAAUGGAUGGCGCUGUAGCGUCGUGCCUAUACUCCGCCGUCAACGGCAAAGCGGGCGGCCCCCCUGAGGGGCGUCGCCGUUACGCCAUGACGAGUAAGAGGGUCGCGGCGGUGAGCGCGGAAGGGUCUGGGCGCGAGCCCGCCUGGAGCCGCCGCCGGUGCAGAUCUUGGUGGUAGUAGCAAAUACUCCAGCGAGGCCCUGGAGGACUGAUGUGGAGAAGGGUUUCUUGUGAACAGCUGUUGCACAAGAGUCAGUCGAUCCUAAGCCCUAGGGGAGACCCGAAGCGAUGGCCUGCCGUUAAACUCUCUUCUCGAAAGUGGGCCGCCGGCCGGCGUCGUCCGGCCGGUCCUGGUCCACGCGGUUGAGCCGGCACCGUCUGGGCGAAAGGGAAUCUGGUUCCUAUUCCAGAACCCGGCAGCGGAACCGCUCCAAUUCGGGCCCUCAUCCGAGGACUCGUCGGGGUGACCCGAAAUGACCCGGAGAAGCCGUAGGGAGGUCCGGGGAGAGUUGUCUCUUCUCUAUAAGCGUUCGAGUUCCCUGGAAGCCUCUAGGAGGGAGAUAGGGUUUGGAACGCGAAGAGCACCGCACUUACGGCGGUGUCCGGAUCUUCCCCUCGGACCUUGAAAAUCCGGGCGAGGGCCACGAGGAACACCGCGCCGGCUCGUACCCAUAUCCGCAGCAGGUCUCCAAGGUGAAUAGCCUCUAGUCGAUAGGACAAUGUGGGUAAGGGAAGUCGGCAAACCCGAUCUGUAACUUCGGGAUAAGGAUUGGCUCUGAGGAUCGUGGCGCGCCGGGCUUGGUCGGGAAGUGGAGCGGCGCCAACGUGCCGGGCCUGGGCGAGGAUAAGGGCCGCUAUCGCGGCCUGGACCCUAGCUCGGUCCCGUGCCUUGGCCACCCACGGAUCUUCCUUGCUGCGAGCCUCCGGGUGCAAGUCCCCCCGGCACCAGCCGGCGGACGGCCCGGAUCGCUCUUCGGCCGCCAUAGAACGAUCAACUUAGAACUGGCACGGACCAAGGGAAUCCGACUGUCUAAUUAAAACAAAGCAUUGCGAUGGCCCCAGGGGGUGAUGACGCAAUGUGAUUUCUGCCCAGUGCUCUGAAUGUCAACGUGAAGAAAUUCAAGCAAGCGCGGGUCAACGGCGGGAGUAACUAUGACUCUCUUAAGGUAGCCAAAUGCCUAGUCAUUCAAUUGGUGACGAGCAUGAAUGGAUUAACGAGAUUCCCUCUGUCCCUACCUACUAUCUAGCGAAACCACUGCCAAGGGAACGGGCUUGGAAGAAUUAGCGGGGAAAGAAGACCCUGUUGAGCUUGACUCUAGUCUGGUAUUGUAAGGAGACAUGAGGGGUGUAGCAUAAGUGGGAGGCGUGAAACACCGUCCGACAGUGAAAUACCACUACUCUCAUCGUUUCCUUACUUACUUGGUGAGGCGGAAGGCGUCCGUCGGUGUGUCUGCACUCCGGCGCGACGGUAUUCUCGCGCCAAGCGCCAAGGGUUGUCGGCGGCCGGUCGGACGCGGUGAGGCCCGCGGUCGCGGGCAGCCCCCCGGGCUGCCCCGCCGCGUGCGUCGUCGCUGCGGCUUCGGCCGGACUGUCCGGCAACACACUCCCUAGCGUGAUCCGAACCAAGGACAUUAUCAGGCCGGCAGUUCGACUGGGGCGGUACAUCUGUCAAAUGAUAACGCAGGUGUCCUAUGGUCAGCUCAGCGAGGACAGAAACCUCGCGUAGAGCAAAAGGGCAAAUGCUGGCUUGAUCCCGAUGCUCAGUGCGCAUAGGGACUGCGAAAGCACGGCCUAUCGAUCCUCUUAGCUUGAAGAGUUUUCAGCAAGAGGUGUCAGAAAAGUUACCACAGGGAUAACUGGCUUGUGGCGGCCAAGCGUUCAUAGCGACGUCGUCGUUUGAUCCUUCGAUGUCGGCUCUUCUUAUCAUUGCGAAGCAGAAUUCGCCAAGCGUCGGAUUGUUCACCCGCUAAUAGGGAACGUGAGCUGGGUUUAGACCGUCGUGAGACAGGUUAGUUUUACCCUACUAAUGAAAAAGGGUCGUUGCUAUAGUAAUCCUGCUUAGUACGAGAGGAACCGCAGGUUCGGACA
rnacentral:rRNA from 1 species